rnacentral:rRNA from 1 species
UACAGAGGUCCCAAGCGUUGUUCGGAUUCACUGGGCGUAAAGGGUGCGUAGGCGGUCGGGUAAGUCUGAUGUGAAAUCUCACAGCUUAACUGUGAAACUGUAUUGGAUACUAUCCGGCUCGAGGAAUGGAGGGGAGACUGGAAUACUUGGUGUAGCAGUGAAAUGCGUAGAUAUCAAGUGGAACACCAGUGGCGAAGGCGAGUCUCUGGACAUUUCCUGACGCUGAGGCACGAAAGCCAGGGGAGCAAACGGG